AACGCACGAGACCUGCGGACCUGCGGAAGGAUCAUUAAUGAGAAGCUGCCCCUCGUGGGUAGACCUCCCACCCUCUGCGAACUUACCUUUGUUGCUUUGGCAGGCCCGUCCUCUGGACCGCCGGCUUCGGCUGGCCCGUGCCUGCCAGAGGAUUCCAAACCCUGUCUGUCAGUGUUGUCUGAGUCUAUAUGAAAUCGUUAAAACUUUCAACAACGGAUCUCUAGAUCGGAAGAGCACACG
rnacentral:misc_RNA from 1 species